rnacentral:pre_miRNA from 1 species
AAUAGAAUAACUGGGUCAAAUGGUGGUUCUAUUCCAAGUUUUCUAAGGAAUCUCCACACUUCUUUCUAGAGUGGUUAUACCAGUUUACAGUCUCACCAGCAAU